GGUAGGGCUUGGGAUUCCAUAACCAGACCAAAUUAAACUACAUAAAACCAUGUCUUUAUAUAUUUCUAUGUUAGGUCUUGUUUUGUUUUUCCAGAUAAAAAUCCAAAAUAGUAUAAAGUCAAUUGAAUUCAGUUUAGUUUAUUCACACAAUAACAUAAAAUAAUUAUUAAAUAAUUUUGGAAACUCUUUGGUGGCAAAGGAAAAUAUUCUCUUUCUGAUAUACAAAAAGAAAUCAGAGUACAAAGCUCUACAUUUGCAUUGUGAUUGCAUAUGUAACAAGAAGAUAAAUAAAAUAUUAAAAAUAUUUAUGAGGAAGUUUAUUUCUUUACACUUUCUUUUAAUAUUUUCUAAAUAUUUCACAGUGUGUAUAGUGUGUUUAUAAUUAGAAAAACAAUGUUUUCAGAAUACUCUUUGCUCCCAUCUUUUAAAAGUAUUUCUAUGGACUGGUCUAUGUUUUUGUAGCAAUCCUGAUGAGAAAUCAUGAAAUAUUCUGCAUGAUUCAUUGACCACUGGAAGGCUUUGUGAUAGCAUUGAAGAUAACCUCCAGUGAGCUCAUAAAAAUAAUUACCUGAAAGUUGCACAAAUUCAGCAUUUUUAUGACAUGCAAAUAAAUAAAAGAAAGGAAGAAACAAGAGAUAACACAAGUAAGAUUUCAUAAAAGGGACAGCAAUAACUAUAUGUAAAAAGAAAUAAUAGAUGUUACCAAAUUGUGUAAAAUUUUGGCAGGUCAAUAGAACUGAAUGAGAGAGAGCCAAAAAAACCCUUCCUCCCUUGCUGUUCAAAAGAGGAACAAAGCACUAAUUACUCUCUGGCAUCAAAAUCUUAUUUAUAUUUAUGACCAAAAUUUUCUUAAAAGCCUUCCUCUUCAUUUGUAAAUUUCCUAAAAGAAUUGACCUAAGCCAAGCAAUCAAACUUUCCUCCAUGGAGGCAACAUAAGAAAAAAGAAUUCUUCCAUGCCUUGUUUAGUGUGUUUUUAUUUCAACUUUUGGAAGAAAAAACUCAAUCUCAACUGACAGCAUGACACAUGAUUCCCACCUAUAUAGUUAUUCUGAUUUACAUCCUAGACACCAUCAGGAAGAGGUUGUAUAGUUUGUUUUCUCCUGAACAUAAAAAAAAUUAAAGAUUUUGAAAGGAUCUCAGAGAAGAAUGUCAUAUUGAGGAUAUAUUAAAGAUGAUUUUAAAUUAUCAAAUAUCAGAAAAGCCUUGUUUAUAUUGUUCACUGCUUGGAAGGAAAGUAAAUUAUGAAAAUAAAAGAACCAGUGGCAUCUUAGAAGUAAAAUAAUGGCAUUCCAGACAUUUAGUACAUUGUGGCCUAAAACUUGGGAUUUAAUCAUUUGAUUUGGCAUGUCAUAAUUUUAAACUGAAAGUACUAAUAGAAACAUACCUGAAGGAGGUGAUUGAGUGCCUCUGCUCUUCUCUGUCUUUUCCUGCUUCCAUCCCAUAGAAACUGAACUCCCAAGUAAUCUACUUGACUGACGGACUUGUAAGAGAAGAAAUUAUAGCUGUAGGACCCAACUACUUUACUUCACCUUAUCAAAUGCACUCACCAAUUUAUGUUCUUAGCACUUUUCCUCAGUCUGACAAGGAUCAGGACUAUUCUGGGGCUUUUUAAGUCUCUUGUCUCUCUGGAUGGUGACAUUCUAUCUUGACAACUCAGAUCCAGCCACUAGGUACCACCCACGGGCCACUGAUAGCUUUUCAGCAUGUUCCAGGUAAAACAAGAGGAAACAAGACUGCAGACUGCAGUUUUCACUACUCUAUAUUACAACUCAUAAGUUUACUUUAGCCUUCAGAACACAACUUGAUAAGACUCAGCUCUGCAUAUAAACUGCUGAUUGAAUGCUUAUAAUAAAUGAAAGUCUUGGAUGCUAUGGAUAGGUUAUUGCUUUUAUUUUGAAGGGGGCCAACUAUGCACUGACUAAAUAUAUGAAGCUGUGUAGAAGAGCUGAGUUGUCCAGAAAACAUCGUUAGAGAUUGACACCUCAGCUGCCCAGAGAGAAUCAUGAAAGACUUUGAGCGAGAAUGGGAGUUGGAACUUGAAAAAUCAGUAUGUUUGGAGGGGUGCAGAGAAAAGAAGCAGGAAGAAGUAAUGACCUGUGUUAGCGAUUAAUGCAUUGUGUCCCAGGGGCUCUGUUGGUUGCUCCGCAUAUGCAGUCCCAUUUAAUUCUCGCUAGAUCACGAAGUUGAAACUCAGAGAAAGUAGUUUUUUGAAGACAGUGCAGAUGAGAAAUAUGGAAAAAUGAAUUCAGAUUCAGAUCUGCCUCACCCUUAAGAUUAUGUUGUUUUUAAUACACUGAACUAUACUAAGAAUGUUUUCUGGAAGGCAGACUGAUGAGAGAAAGAGUGAAGAGGUAUAAAUAAACACAAGCUUCAGGAUGACAGAGCUUCCUUCCUGGAAACAGUGGUUGGGAUGAAGCAACAAACACCAAACAAAAACACACCUUUUUUUUUUUGGCUAAGAAGAAUUGCAAGAUGAAAUUCCAUGUACUUGAUAUGCGUUUAUCAAAUCUGAAUUUAUUUCCUGAUUACAAAGUAAUACCAUGCUACUGGUAGAAUUAGGAAACUAUAGAAUCACCAGCUAUAGAGUCAGCCAGAGCUAGCUACUGUCAAUAUUUUCCCAUGUCUUUCUUUUCUCUUUAAUACGUAUAUACUUAUGUAUGUAUAUGUAUAUAUAAUUAUAAUAAUUUAUUAUUAUUGAACAUUGAAUUUUUUCAGGCUUUUAAAUUUGUUUUUAUGGUUUUUCAAUUAUAAAUGAUGUCUGAUUUGCAUGUAAAUCAUUUUAUUCUCUUCUGGUUUUUCCAUAUGAAACAAUUUUUAAACAAAAAAUUCAGCUUACCUUGUUUCCUAUAAUAUCAAAAAUUAAAAUUAAACUUCAAUCUUGUGUCACUGUACAUACUAAAGCCGUUUAGGGGAUGAACAAAUAUCCUAGCAUAAUAUUGGCCCAGCCAUCAUCAUCACCAUCAUCUUCACUGGAGGUUGUUAAUCUUUCACUCCAUUCAUGAAGAGAAAGAAAGAGAGAUUAAAGACGAGAUUGAGGAAGAAGUUAGAAAGAAAGGGAGGAAGAAGAACACUGGUUUCCCUUUCUCAGGAAGAGAUGCAUUUUCUCCAGGAAGGCAAAGAGUGAAUUCCAUUGUGGUCUUGAGGGGUGGUGAGAAGCACUCAUUUUAGAUUUGGUCGAAGUGUUUAUUGGCUAUUUAAUACUGACUAACCCUCAGAGGUGUGCAUCUACAUCACUUUGCCGAUGUAUCUCCUCAUUCAGGAACAUUACUCAGUGAAGAAAACCACUUGGAUUCAAAUCCCAGAUACCUAGUUUAAAAGCUCUGUGAUUUUGGACAAGUUCUUUAAUCUUUGAACCUCAAUUUCCACAGGAGUGAAAGGAGAUAAUAACGCCAACUGGGAAUAUUUGGAUCAUGACAAUUAAACCAGAUCACCAUUAUCAGACAAUCACAUACAAGGAGCACCCUUCUCCUUUUCUUUCAAGUUUUUCCUUUUCACAAAUGGUAGUAAAUUUUUCUUCAGGAGAUGUCUGCAUUGUAAAAAGUAGAGCUCAAUCAUUCCACAAAGUUUUGUACCCCUGGGUUUGGAGGAUCAUUACCCAUACACCUUUAUGGGGAUCACCAUUCAGUGAAAAAGACAGGAAAGGUAACAUAGUAAUGAGUUAAAAUGUCAAAGGGAGAGAAGUGGAUACAAAAUUGUGUGUGUUCCCCAAUAAGAUAUGGCCAGAUCUAUUCCAGGAGGGAGCCUUAGAAGAAUAACCCUUAAGGUGAGUCUUCCAAAAUGAGUAAAUAUUUGCCAAGUAAAGGAGGAUGGGGGCAUUAUUAGCAUGGGCUAAAUGCUUGGUCCAUGGGUGGUGGGGAGAAGGUUGGUAGUUGGCAUAUGAGUCCUUAACAGAUGCUAAAAGUUAUUCAAAUGCCACUUCCGCUGCAGAGCUCCCUCUGAUCCCUUAUACAGGAAACCCUCUCUACCGUCUUAGCGCUUUAAUUGCACCACAUCUGUGGAUUUCUUUGACAUUUACUACUUCCUGCUUUGCAUUAGAGCUAUUUGUGGACAUAUUUUACUUUCAUUAUACACUAGAGAACCCAGAGCCUGUUUUAUCCUCAUACUCCCCACAGUGCCUUCAACUUAAAAUUAUAUCUGUAUAUGCUCUUUUUAAAUUUUUUGAACGAAAGCCAGUAUAUGUCACAUUCACUCACUCCAUCACAUUGGGGUUCUUGGUCAUUUUAUUUAUGGACUUUACAAGGGUGCAAAGAGGCUUGUCUUUUUGUUAUACAGCUUGUUGCCUAGUAAGCAUUGAUAGCUGUGUAGCACCUUCCUCAUCACUCAUGGAACUUGGCUGAGCUGGUUUUGCUACUGCUAUUAAAGAAAUGGUUUUCUUCUAGCAUCAUUGAUUCUUCUAGAGUAGAAAAAAUAACUAUCCAACUUAGAGCUUCUCAGGCUUGAGCCUCACAAGAAACCCCCAGAAGAUGUGAUUUGCUAAGUUCCCAGAAGAGGUAGAGAGUAGCUGGGAUCCUGGGUCUUUGUGGGGCCAAUUCAAGGAUAUUUUCUUUUUCAGUCUUUCGGGUUUAGACCCUUUUCAAUCAACUAAUUGGAACUAUGGUUGGCUCUGAGUCAAACCUGCCAAGAAGACUGUUAAUAUUCACCUCAUUAUCUUGAUUAUUAUGGGUAGUAAUAGAAGUAAUACUAUAUUACAGAAAUAUCAUUCAUAGUGCCUUACACUUAUCGAGCAUUAACUAUGGCCAGGCACUUUCUAAAUACUUUGUCAAUACUAACUAAAUUCACAUCCAAGCAAUUCAUUGACUUGGUUGCUAUUAGUAUCCUCAUUAAAUAGAUGAUGAAACCAAAGCACAGAGAACUUAAAUAUUUGUACUUUGCCUAUGUAUCACACCUGAUAAGUGGUGACCCGGGACAUGAACCAAGAGAAAUUUGCUCUCUUGCCUGGCCUUUUGUCUGCUAUGUCACCUCACUGAUCCACUUACUUGAGGAAAUAUUAUUGUCUCCAUUUUACAAAGAUUGUGCAAGGACUUUAAAUGACUUGCCUAAUUCUGUACAUUGGAAAAUAGUACAGCCAGGAUAUGCAGUCCAGUCAAUCCAGUUCUAAAGUCUGAGUCUGGAACUCUGAUUCUCACCCUUCAUCAAGGUUUGUAUAACACCCUUUAACACUACCUUCUACUAUCUAUCUCAUGAUUGUUUCCUAGGGUGAAGGAGAAGUGAACAAUGUGACUUUGAAAGUAGUAGAGUCAUCAGUGAGGUCAAUUGAAAGAGAUUUAAUGACUCUACGAGUGAAUUAAUUUCAGGAUAUUUGAGUUAUUAGGAAUGCUUCCUAUAGUAUCCAUUGAAGAUGUCUUACCUCACUAUCCUCUACAGUGAAAACUGCAGUCACCUUAUUAUAUUUUGCAAUGGUCCAAACUUGAGGCUGUGGUUUAGGACAAACAGAGUCAAAAAUCUGGGCCAAAGAGUGGGAAGGAAAUAUCCCAAAGGGUAAAUAUACAGGGCACAUUACAUCAAAAUCACUUUCAUUUUUUGAAAUUCUGAAGGGAUACGAGGCAGAGACCAGAGAAGCCAAAUAUGCCUUCAUGCCAGGAAUCAAGGCUGGUCUAGAAGCCCAAACACAACAGCCAAAGUAAGUAGAGCCCUCUGCAGAAAAGUGAAAAAGAUGGCUUCUCUGGAUUGUUAGCUCAGGAUGAGUUCCAUAGGAAAUACAUAGAAAAUAAAAGUAGUUGAUUCAUUGCUACCAGUGUAACCCAAUGCAAUGGAAUCUUAAAUGGACAGCCCCCUGUUCAUUGUGUUUCUACACAUCAAGUUUCAUGGAGCCUUGAACAUGGACUGAUGAAUUUGAUCACUACAGCAAACUUCUGCUGAUUGACCUGAAGUAUCUAUUUUAUGUUUCUUUCCUUCAAUAACACAUGACGAAAUAGCCAGGUUUUCAUUUAAUUCCCUGAAAUAGCAAAAGAGAUUUAGCAGGGUGCAUAAAGUAAGGUGUUUCUUAUCUAUUAUGAGGAUGAAAUUAGUGUUAUGUGUUUAUUUAUAGAUGAUGCCUACAGUUGUCCUUCUUAAAUGAAAUCUGAUAAUUGGGAGUGGCUGUAAGAAAUGUCAGUGGGUGCUCCCAAAUAAGUAAGGGUCUGUGGAAGCAAGGAACUCUCUUUCCACAUAUGUAACUGAACUUGACAAAGCUGCCGCAUUUUGCUUUGGAAUCACCAAUAGCAAGUUAUAUGACAAAUAACCCUUUAACAGUCUCUUUAGUUAUUCCUAUUGCUUACAUUAAAUUACUAAACUGAUAGAUCAGAAGGUGAUUAUUUUGGUCACAUUGACAGAUCGUACAAUGAACUCCUUAACAGUAAAACUUGUUUGAAAAGAGGCCUAGCAAAUUGGGUGAGAAACAAAAGCAGUUUCUUUUGAUUGUUGCUUCCCUUUGUUUUCCAUUCCUGAUCUUCAAACAUGCUAUGUCAAAAUCUCCCUUUUCCAUCCUUAAAAAAAUAACUCAGCAGGGUUCUAUAACCUUCCAGUCCUUCUCAGAUAUUCAAACUCAGCUUAGCCUAUUUUAAAACUAAAAUCUCAAAUUGGAUUCAAAUUUCUUCCCCUCUUUCCCCCAGUUGUCCACAGGACAGAUUUGACAUGGCUGCUUGGAUUGGAAAAAGGAGGAGAAAGUUAUCCUUGAUAUUGUCAGGAGUCUUCCUCUUCUUAGUCAAGCUCUUCUGGCCUUCCUUGUCUGGCUCUGAUCAGGAAGAUCUGAAGUCACAAUUGGUUUCUCCUAUCUUUGACUUUCUGGUGUUGGAUGAGAAGGCAAAAGAGGAAGGGUUUGUCAAAAUUGGUAGGAAAGUCUGGUUGGGCCUGGUCCUUGACUUCACUGAUUCUCUUUGCAACUGGUAACACCACUCAUGACGUACUCUUUGUCCCUGUGAUGUGUAGUUUAACCUUCAGAACAUCUUUCUGAGAAUUUGCCUGUUCCCAUGAUGUCCCCAAAAGUCCUUGGCCUACUUCUCUAUUGGCCAAGAGAACACCUGGGCAGCCUUAAGUCCCCUGACCCUUCUUUGGCUUUAAUGCUUCUUCAUUUGGAGAUAAAACCACUGAGUCCUCUUUGUAUGCUCUGAGGGAAGGAAGGCCAUUUAGGGUGGGGUAGUGGCUCUGCCUUUUUCCAGGCACAGUACUUCACAGUCCCAGCAGGGACUACUCCCAUAGGUGUCUUUAACCUCCUUCCUAGUAGACUUCCUCCCUUUAAGGACCUCUUUUGACCAACCUAGGUCCCAGCGUCCCUGAGAAUUUUUUUCCCAAAAUUACAAGAAGGCACCAGUUAAGAUCACACAGAAUCUCCCUCUCUGUGUUUUGCUCUACCAUGGCAGCACUAGGAUAUGCUAUAGUUUCUUGGUUCCAGAAAAUACCCAGAUAAAGAGUAAGAAGUCAGUUCUCUUUCUUACAGACACCUCCAGGCUCUACAAGCUAUUCUCUUGAAAUCUUAUUCUGCAACCAAUUAUCUUGAGAAUGGGAUGAAAUAGCCUCUCCCCAUGAACCUGCAGUCCUCAUAGACCUGAGAUUUUUCUCCUCCAUGAUGUAUUCCAUAGGUAGACUGAGAAUGAGGUGUGACGUUGAACUGAAUGAAAUAUAGUUGGUGGUAGCAGCCUCCAUUUACGUCACCUGGGAGAAACGUCUUACCACAACUAUAGUUGGAGAACUGAUGAAUUGAGAGUAUGGGGUAUCUAUCAAUCUCAUUUUCAGUUGUAUAUAAUUUUUACUGAUUUCAAGAAAAUAUAAAAACUUGUUUCAUAGAGUUAAAUUAGCCAUAAAAUAAAGACAAAUCUACACACACACACACACACACACAUAUAUAUGGGUUAUGGAACCCACAAUGGGUCUGGUUGCAAGGUAAAAUGGAUGCCAUAUCACUUCAACUUGUCCUGUCCAUUGCAUCCUAUACUACCUGAAAAGCCAGUGUAUAUGGGAUCUCCAAAAUCAGAAUGCUAGUCCUAGAAGGGAGUUGCCAAGUAUCUUCCACCCACUAGCCAUGAAACUGGAACACUUACCCUCCUUCUCUUCAUCUGAGUUCUUUCCAGAAGUAGCCAUGCUUUUCACCACAGUGUCCACUUUGGAUCCCAGACUCAUCCUUGUAGCUAAUACUUUCAAAAGCAAAGGCAUGGAGAAAAGCAUUUGUGGUAACCAGGGUAGAUUUUGUUUGCAAGAGUCAAGAGGGUACCAUGUCACUGCUACUUCUCCUGUCCACCGCAUCCCCCGCCUCCUGAAGAACCAAUGUACUUCCUUCCUCUUCCCUUCCAGUGUCCUUUAGAGUUGUCCACACUGCUUCUUAUCAAGCACAAUUCUGC
rnacentral:lncRNA from 1 species